rnacentral:rRNA from 1 species
AUUGAACGCUGGCGGCAGGCCUAACACAUGCAAGUCGAACGAGUGGCGGACGGGUGAGUAAUGUCUGGGAAACUGCCUGAUGGAGGGGGAUAACUACUGGAAACGGUAGCUAAUACCGCAUACCAUCAGAUGUGCCCAGAUGGGAUUAGCUAGUUGGUGGGGUAACGGCUCACCAAGGCGCCGAUCCCUAGCUGGUCUGAGAGGAUGCCCAGCCACACUGGAACUGUGACACGGCCCAGACUCCGACGGGAGGCAGCAGUGGGGAAUUUUGGACAAUGGGGGCAACCCUGAUCCAGCCAUGCCGCGUGUAUUAAGAAGGCCUUCGGGUUGUAAAGUACUUUUGUCAGGGAAGCGGUACCUGAAGAAUAAGCACCGGCUAACUACGUGCCAGCAGCCGCGGUAAUAC